AAGGUUCAGAGUGUUCGAAGCCUUGAGUUGCUCGGAAGAUUGAACCAUCGCCCUCUCCGGAGUCCGGCUUUCAGUCAGUGCGUCGCAGCUCGCUAUGGACGGCAGUGGCUGUGUUGGAUCUGUUUUGAUUGUGUAUUUGUUUCUCGCCUGUGUCUAUCCUCAGCUUGUAAAUCAAGUCGGCCAUCCACAUCCACUGCCCGAGUCGUGUUAAAGGUAUUAGGACUCCUUGGUACUCUGCAAUGAAGAGAUACAGAAGAGUUAGAAGGAAUAUGAAGGAGAGCAGAGGAGGAGUUUCGGAGGAUGAACAACAUGAACAAGAAGAGAAGAGGAGGAGGAGCACUGCGUAUGAGGAGACAGAGGACGACAACGAGCAACAACGUGUGUACAAGAGAAGAAAGGUGGAGCGAGGAGGAGCAAUGCGUACGAGGAGAGAGAGGACGACAAUGAGCAACAACAACGUGUACAAGAGAAGAAAGGUGGAGGGAGGAAGGCGAGCAACACAACAAGUACAAGAGAAGAGGAGGAGGAACAACAAAAAUCACAGGUGUUCUAAAAAUGUUAAUGUGUGACAUGCAUGAAGGUUGUUGUUUAACGUUACACUGCUCCUGCUGAGAUGUUUGUUGGAUAGCUUUGUUAAUUUAUCUUACAUGACUGUCCACAAAUGGUAAGGAUUCUUUAUACUUUGUUUUAACAAUAGAAUUUUUGUAGACAUGGAAUCUAUUAAACAAUGCAGUAUAGACCAAGAAGCCAUCAUCGGCCUUUGGACAAAUCUGCCUCUCCAUGCAGAAUAAAAAGACUAGGUGUUGAGCAGAUUCUAAUUUCCUAAACUUUACCAAAAUGCUUAAAAUGUUUGCCUGAAAGCUAACUGCCUGAAAGCUAACUAAGUCACAGCCUUCAGACAAACAAACAUUUGGUAAAAUAAAUUUUUAAGGAAUUUUUUUAACAUGAGCAUUGUAUAAUAUUAUAUAUAUAGCCUUUAUUUUUUGCAGGGAGGGAGGCAAAUAAUAUUUUUUUGUCCAGAGGGAGAUAGUGGCUUGGUCUGAACUGCAAUACUUUAUAGAUAAUAUUGAUUUUUUUGUCAGUAAAAGUAUAUAAAGAAUUCUCUAUAGUUUUUGGUGAUUGUCCAAGCAGUCAGCAAGCAUCACAUGUUAAUUAAUAAUAAUGGUAUUGUUGUAGAUAAUAGAUUGCUGAAGCUUAACAGACUUAAUAUGUGGAAUUGGUCUCUGGCAAAAAUUUCUUGAAAUACCAUUUUUGCAUGACGCUCAUUAACGAUGUUGGCUGGCGACAUUGGACAAAACAAAAUGUAGUUACAUUUGAAUGCGUGACAUUGACUGUGAAACCCGUUACUCUAAUGAAACAAAUGUACUUUCUCUUCUCAGACCCAACCACACUUAUGUUUACAACCAUGUUAUUAAAGAUACUCUCUCCAUGCUGUCAGUCUAGCAGCAUUCAACUGAUCCCAUCCUGUAUCUGUUAUGUUAUUUGAUCUCUUCUUUCUUGCUGCAUGUUGAUUACUGAUGAUUCCAGAUUUGAUCAUGUUCGGCCAGUUCUCAUGGUGUGCUGCUGUUGGUGGAAAUCAUGUCGUUACAUUCUUAUAAGCUUUCAUGUAUUAUGAUGACCUGAAGCCUUAAUAAAUAUAAAACUAAAUAAA